rnacentral:tRNA from 1 species
GCCUGGCUAGCUCAGUUGGCAGAGCAAGAGACUCUUAAUCUCAGGGUUGUGGGUUUGAGCCCCAUGUCGGGCG